UACGUAGGGUGCGAGCGUUGUCCGGAAUUAUUGGGCGUAAAGAGCUCGUAGGCGGUGUGUCACGUCGUUCGUGAAAACCUGCAGCUUAACUGUGGGCGUGCGGUCGAUACGGGUAUCACUGGAGUUCGGCAGGGGAGACUGGAAUUCCUGGUGUAGCGGUGAAAUGCGCAGAUAUCAGGAAGAACACCCGUGGCUAAGGCGGCUCUCUAGUACGGUACUGACGCUGAGACGCGAAAGCGUGGGGAGCGAACAGG
rnacentral:rRNA from 1 species